GACGAACGCUGGCGGCGUGCCUAAUACAUGCCAGUUGAGCGCUGAAGGUUGGUACUUGUACCAACUGGAUGAGCAGCGAACGGGUGAGUAACGCGUGGGGAAUCUGCCUUUUAGCGGGGGACAACAUUUGGAAACGAAUGCUAAUACCGCAUAAAAACUUUAAACACAAGUUUUAAGUUUGAAAGAUGCAAUUGCAUCACUCAAAGAUGAUCCCGCGUUUUAUUAGCUAGUUGGUGAGGUAAAGGCUCACCAAGGCGAUGAUACAUAGCCGACCUGAGAGGGUGGUCGGCCAAAAUGGGACUGAGACACGGCCCAAACUCCUACGGGAAGCAGCAGGAGGGAAUCUUCGGACAUGGACGAAAGGCUGACCGAGCAACGCCGCGUGAGUGAAGAAGGGUUUCGGAUCGUAAAACUCUGUUGGUAGAGAAGAACGUUGGUGAGAGUGGAAAGCUCAUCAAGUGACGGUAACUACCCAGAAAGGGACGGCUAACUACGUG
rnacentral:rRNA from 1 species